CUUACACAUGCAAGUCGAACGGUAAGGCCCCUUCGGGGGUACACGAGUGGCGAACGGGUGAGUAACACGUGGGUAAUCUGCCCUGCACUUCGGGAUAAGCCUGGGAAACUGGGUCUAAUACCGGAUAUGAACUCCUGCCGCAUGGUGGGGGUUGGAAAGUUUUUCGGUGCAGGAUGAGCCCGCGGCCUAUCAGCUUGUUGGUGGGGUAAUGGCCUACCAAGGCGACGACGGGUAGCCGGCCUGAGAGGGUGAUCGGCCACACUGGGACUGAGACACGGCCCAGACUCCUACGGGAGGCAGCAGUGGGGAAUAUUGCACAAUGGGCGAAAGCCUGAUGCAGCGACGCCGCGUGGGGGAUGACGGUCUUCGGAUUGUAAACCCCUUUCAGUAGGGACGAAGCGCAAGUGACGGUACCUGCAGAAGAAGCACCGGCUAACUACGUGCCAGCAGCCGCGGUAAUACGUAGGGUGCGAGCGUUGUCCGGAAUUACUGGGCGUAAAGAGCUCGUAGGCGGUUUGUCACGUCGUCUGUGAAAUCCCUCGGCUUAACCGGGGGCGUGCAGGCGAUACGGGCAGACUUGAGUACUACAGGGGAGACUGGAAUUCCUGGUGUAGCGGUGAAAUGCGCAGAUAUCAGGAGGAACACCGGUGGCGAAGGCGGGUCUCUGGGUAGUAACUGACGCUGAGGAGCGAAAGCAUGG
rnacentral:rRNA from 1 species